rnacentral:rRNA from 1 species
UUGUGACCCCAGGUCAGGCGGGACUACCCGCUGAGUUUAAGCAUAUCAUAAGCCCGGAAGAGA